rnacentral:rRNA from 1 species
UACGGAGGGUGCAAGCGUUAUCCGGAUUCACUGGGUUUAAAGGGUGCGUAGGUGGGUCUGUAAGUCAGUGGUGAAAUCUCCGGGCUUAACCUGGAAACUGCCAUUGAUACUAUAGCUCUUGAAUUUUCUGGAGGUAAGCGGAAUAUAUCAUGUAGCGGUGAAAUGCUUAGAUAUGACAUAGAACACCAAUUGCGAAGGCAGCUUGCUACAGGAACAUUGACACUGAGGCACGAAAGCGUGGGGAUCAAACAGG